GAUAAAAAGAAUUGAGAAGUUAUUUUCAUGCCUGGCUUUGUACACAGGAUUUAUUCCACUCAUCUUAAAAAAAGAAUUCAGUAAAAUGAUUUAGGAUCUUGUUACAAAUUCACUAGGGUGGCUCAGUCUAAUAAACCCAUUUACAGAGCAAAAAAAAACUACAUUUCUCCAGUGAACUAAUUCCUUUCUUCCUUUCUAAUUAAAAAUUAAUAAAUCCACUCCUCUCAUUUCAGUGAAUGGACAUUGAAAAACUUUAUAGAAUUUUCAGGGAUUAUUUUUUGUGUUGAUGUUCAUGCAGUGUUUCCCCCUCCCCCUUAGCCGAGGAGGGGCGGAAGGAGAUUCUAUGCUGCAGUUAGUGAGUCUGUCACCAGUCUAUAAAAUGUCCUCCUCCCCACUUACUGUUAGAGUUGCAGGCAGGCGAGCUAGGGAGAAAGGGCAGGUGGAGAGGGAAAUAAAACAGGGAAAGGGGAAACAGCCCAGGAAUAGCUUUAAAAAAAGUUAACAAACUAGGUUAAUAAUCUAUUGGAAACUAUAGCUAAUAUUUUUUAAAGUAAAUCAGUAAAGAGGAUUUUACUCUUAAAAUAUUAAUUAUAGUUUGAUAAUUAAAAAGAUAUGGUUAACUAGUGCACCGCUGGUUUUUAAACCACUUAAUGCUCUUAAAAACAGGAAAUAUGAAGAUUUUUAAUAUGAAAGGCAAUUGGAAGAGGAGAGAAGAAUCAAAGAAUCAGAAGUAUUCAAUAAGUUCAGGAGGGUGAUCAGCGGAGGUUUGGGUAAAGGUUGAAAGAAAAUGGGCAUUUUAAAUGCCUCCAAAAUAAAAAUUUAACCAAGAAAACCUUGAAGAUAAAUUUAAGAAAAAACAAGAAAAAAAUUGAAGAUUAAGAAAAUGCUAAAUUUUGAAAUAUAGAUCUUGCAUUUUAAAAAAAGGCAAAAGAAGAAUUUAAAAUUUGAAGAUAAUUGGGAAAGAAAAAUUUAAAAUUUGAAGAUAAGAAAAAACAAGAUUUAAAAAACGAAGAUUAAUUUAGAAGCAAAACAAGACAAAAAUAAAAUUGAAGAUAAAUUGAAACCCAAAAUAUGCUUUAAACCAGUUUGGGGUGAAAAAAUAUAUUAAGAAUGCUGGCUGUUUUUAAAACGCCAGAUUAAGUCUGCUUCAAGCAGAAGAAAAUAUGAAGAAACAAAGAUUUUAUUUAAAAGGCAAAGUGAUUUUUAGAAAAGAAAAUAUUAGAAACACAAGGUUGGGGAAGAUUUUCAAGACAGGAGACUGAGAAGAGAGAAGGUUGUGGUUUGUUUUUUUGGUAAUAUUAGAAGGCAGAAGGUAACUUAGAAGAGGACCCAGGAAAAGAGAAGAGAGAAGGGGAGUUGCAUUUUAAAGAUGAGCAAAAUAUAUCUAACUAUAGUAGAUUAGUUAAAAAAUGUGAAGACAGGCGGGUGAAAAAGACUUACAUUGAUACUUGUAACAAAAAAUCUAAGGAGUAAUAUUUGCUGAAGAAUUUAAUCACUUAAUGCAAGCUAGCUCAGUUUUUGUCAUAAAAAUCAAAUUUACAAAUUCAUAGCAUACUAUAACUAUUAAUUCAAAGGACUUUGUGUAUGAAAAUUAUUUCAAGAUCAAGAAUAAUCUUUAAAAGAUGUAUUUUUUGUGUUGGACUAAAUGGAAAAAAUUUGUCUUGGGCUAAAAAGUUUUUAAAAAAAUAGCUGACAAAGGACUAGAAUAAAACCAGCAGCCAUUUUACAUCUGAUGCAUUGAUCAAGGCGGAAUGUGGAUUCAGUGAAGCUAGAAAGACAGGAUUUCAAGGAGCCAGUGCAAAUUGGUGAAGUUAGAGGGGGAAAAAGAGCCAGUGCAAAUUGGUGAAACUAGAGGAAAAAAGAAUCACGGAAAACAAGAUCAAGCAAGAAAUUUUUGAAAUAAUAGAUUAGAGGCUUCUAGAUCAAGAUACCAUUGUGAAAGGCAGAAGUGGAAAAAUGAGUGAAGACAGCAAUAAUUUAACCUGUAGUUGGUAACCUACUUUCUCCUUGAUUUCUUUAAAACACUAUUUUCUUUGCUAUACUCUUUAUUAAUAGUAAUUUGUAAACGUGCUUAUUGUUAUGAGAGGGGGUUUGUUUGGAGUGGGUCAAGUCGUGGUGUGUCGUAGGUUUUUCUCUUUGCAGGCUUAUUUACUCAUUGCAUCUUGUCUGGAAGCUAAUGGGCAGUCUGCCAAGGCCUGGAGAGUGUGGUCAUCUUCCCGAGUGUUUAGAAAACUGCUGGAAUUUUCCUUUCGGCUUUAGGAGUGAGUGGUAGCUAGCGUCUGUAUUGCUGUAACCCUACCCAAAUUGGGGAAGUCGUGAGCCUGGUGGAGCGACAAGCAUCUCUGGUGGCAGUGAAGUGUAAGCAAAUCACAUAUAAUUUUUUUAAAAGAUUAUUGCCCAACAGAACAACAAACUUUGUUUGUUCACGUCUUAAAAUAUUGUAGGUUAUGUAUAUUAUUCCCCAUAUCCUUGCCUGUUCCUAGCAAGAGAAAAUAAAUGUAUUUUUGCCACGCAUUCUAGUGGGAAGGGAAAAGGCUUUUGUUAGUCUUGCUCAGUGUUUUUUUUUUCCUUGAAGGGAGGGGAAGGGGACCAGAAACUUCUUCAGUUUUUUUCCCUAGGUGUGUCUAGAUCCUAGAGCCAGACGACUGGAGAGGUGCCAAUGUAAAGGAUAAAAGAGAACCAGUAAUCAGGAUAAAACCUCUAUUGUAUUGAUGAUGGCAGUGGUUUAGAAAUGUGAUUGACCUAUAUUGCAGCUGUAGAUAUCAAUUCAAGUGUGUGGAGAAACUGGCCAGACAGAGGGAAAUGCAAGUUAAUUAUAUUCUAUUUUUAUAAGUUUGGAUUCUUCAUAAAGUAAUUUACAUUUUUUUAAUUAUCAAACUAUAAAGGUACGAUUUUUUUGGGAGAGGGAAACCUUUUUGUGUAUGUUGAAAAGGGUGGUGGUGGGUAGGGAUAAAAACAAGCUUGUUUCUAGACUCUUUGCAGAUACUAUAGUUCCUAUUGGCUUGGUUAGAAGUGUGGUUCUGUCUACUGUGCUGUUGCGAGAACAUUCCCCAGAGUCGGAGCAGCUUUUACCUUGGAAGAAAGGACAGUUUACCUAAAAUGGAGUUGGAAAGUUGGAUUGGAGCUUGUAUUCAGGAUUCAUGGUCGUUCAGUCAUCCUCUAAGGAGAAUUUAAGAAGAGCUUGGCUAGUCCAAACUUGAAAGUUAAGUUUUCUCUAGUAAACAAACAAAACAGCCAAUCUUUGAUACAGUAUGUGUGUUGUGGGUGGAAUUUUAGGUGCAGUUUUAUAUGGCUUGACAUAUUUGUGGGGGUGGGGCAACAUAAUCGUCUAUAUGUUCUUCAGAGUCUCUCCCUAAACUGCAGAAACAUCCAUAACUUUAGGACUGAAAAAAAGAAUGUUCAGCUUCAAUCCUGGCAAGUAAUUCUCAUAAUGUAGCUUUAAAUUGUUCUUGGGGAAGUACCCCAUUGAAUAAUUGGGAAUGUUCACACAGGGCCCAUAUGCAUGUAUAUACUUAAAAUGCACACCGUGCUAGAAAGAGAAUAGACAACGUUAAAACUUUAACCCAGACUAUCACAAAGUAGCUUGUUUAAUUUUUUUUUCCUGUAGCAUGAAACUUACCAAAAAUACUCUCUCAGAAGUGGAAAGCUUCCACUAGUCCAAAUUAACAUGGACUUAAGAUAAAAAACACACAUUCAAAUCCUUUUGUAACUAUUAGGGUUGUGGUGUCUAGACGCAUAUUAUGGUGCAUAUCUGUAAUUGUGGGAAUCGAUUUGAAACCUUGGAUAUAGUGGUGUGUGGCUUCUUCUUUUUUUGGCAUUUUUUUUCAGGUGCUUAAUGUAACUUAAUGCUACUGUAGAGACUUCAGAGAGAAAGAAGUUGCUUAAUGACCCUGGUGUGAUUCCUUCUGAUGGUAGCUUGUGUAUUUUUCAAACAUUUUUCAGAUCCGCCAUCAGAAUCAUAGCCCCAACGAGCCCUGAGAAAAUAUGGCCUCAUAAAUGCAGAGGGAACCGCUUCUUGGCGAAUGAUAAGUAAAGGCAGAAAAGAUUCUAAUAUUCCUUACUACUUGAUGGAAAAGGAUCCCAGAUGUUAACAAGUGAAAAUCCAAUGUGUCUACGAAAAAAAAAAAAAGCCAUAACCAAUGAAACUGACAAAUUUGAAGUAAUAAGCAUUGACUAUCAAUUAUCUGAUCAGAAUAUUUGCUCUAAGAAAUCUCAAAAUUAUAUGCAGUAAAGAGCAAAUGGCCUUCUUGAAAUACAUAAUUUCAUUAAAGUUGAGUGAACAACAACUUCCACUUCAUUGCAAUUAAAUUGAAAGAAAAUACCGGGCGGAAAAAAUGCAUAUGCAAAUACAUAUGGCUUCUACCAAACUAUUUGGUAUGAAUAUUACCACCUAAAUCUUACGGAUUUGAAGAAAGAAUAUGAAUUAUUUUGAAACCACAAUCUAAUUUGGGAUCAACUUUCACUACUGUUGGAUUUGAGAGGAGGCUUGUGCUGUGUUCCACUGUUUACCUGAGACAGGUUUUCUGCACUAUUAAUGAGGAGUUUUGCUUCAUUUCAUCUGGGAGCUGAAAAAAACAAGCAGGCAUCUAUUACAGAUAAGUUUAUCAAUUAUAUCGGCAGAUAUUGCAUGUUAGGGAAAUGUACUUUUUAAAUGCUAUGAAGCAGUGGAAGCCCUAAACAUCUGAACUGGCAUUUCUCAUUCCCAGCCUUUAGCAGUGUGUGGAAUGGGUAUGAGGGACUUAACCUACCCCUGUGCCUAUUCAGGGCUGCACUUCCACUUUCUAAAUUCCUUUCUCCUCUGUGCACAGGCCACAGUUGGAUAGUGCCCAUCACCUACAGGCAGAUGAGCAUAGCAGCAAUGCUGUGGUGCUUCCGAACAAACAUGCAAUGUAUAUCCUCCUUUGGAGGCUGAGCCUACUCUGGGCCUACAGUUUGAGAGCCUAAAAUGCUAUACCAAACAGCACAUUAUGCUGCCAAAAAACACACCUUAUUUUUCUGCUAUUUUGUAGCAUUAAAAUAUAUGCAGAAAACAUGGGAUUAAAAAAAAAAGCUAUAAAGGUACCUGUUAAUAAAGUUACUGAUGUGCUCUAAGAAUAGACAGUUUGUCUUCAUUUUUAUUAAUAAAAAUGUGCUGUCAAUGUU